rnacentral:rRNA from 1 species
UACGUAGGGGGCAAGCGUUGUUCGGAAUUACUGGGCGUAAAGGGCGCGUAGGCGGCACAGCAAGUCGGGAGUGAAAGCCCGGGGCUCAACCCCGGAAUGUCUUUCGAAACUGCUGAGCUCGAGUGCGGAAGAGGCAACUGGAAUUCCCAGUGUAGCGGUGAAAUGCGUAGAUAUUGGGAAGAACACCUGAGGCGAAGGCGGGUUGCUGGGCCGACACUGACGCUGAGGCGCGAAAGCUAGGGUAGCGAACCGG